ACGGGUUUACCCCCGAAUCGAGCCUUGUGGUCUGUCCAGGCAUCAUUUAUAUGAGCCGCUCGAAUAACACUAAACUAAAAUCCAGGGUAAAC
rnacentral:ncRNA from 18 species